rnacentral:rRNA from 1 species
UACGAAGGGGGCUAGCGUUGUUCGGAAUUACUGGGCGUAAAGCGUGCGCAGGCGGCCAUUCAAGUCAGGGGUGAAAGCCCAGAGCUCAACUCUGGAACUGCCCUUGAAACUGUAUGGCUUGAGUAUGAGAGAGGUGAGUGGAAUUCCCAGUGUAGAGGUGAAAUUCGUAGAUAUUGGGAAGAACACCGGUGGCGAAGGCGGCUCACUGGCUCAUAACUGACGCUCGAUGACACGACAGCGUGGGGAUCAAACAGG